rnacentral:rRNA from 1 species
CCUACGGGUGGCAGCAGUGAGGAAUAUUGGGCAAUGGCCGUAAGGCUGAACCAGCAAAGCCGCGUGAAGGAAGAAGGAACUAUUAUUUGUAAGCUUCUUUUAUAGGGGAGUAAAGGUAUCCACGUGUGAAUAUUUGCAUGUACCCUAUGAAUAAGCAUCGGCUAACUCCGUGCCAUCAGCCGCGGUAAUACGGAGGAUGCUAGCGUUAUCCGGAUUUAUUGGGUUUAAAGGGUGCGUAGGUUGUUAUAUAAGUCAGCGGUGAAAGUUUGUGGCUCAACCAUAACAGUGCCGUUGAAACUGGAAGACUUGAGUGUGACUGAGGUAGGCGGAACGAGUGGUGUAGCGGUGAAAUGCAUAGAUAUCAGGCAGAACUCCGAUGGCGAAGGCAGCUUACUAAGCCAUAACUGACACUGAAGCACGAAAGCGUGGGGAUCAAACAGGAUUAGAUACCCGGGUAGUC